UACGGAGGGUGCAAGCGUUAUCCGGAUUCACUGGGGUUAAAGGGUGCGUAGGUGGGUUGGUAAGUCAGUGGUGAAAUCUCCGAGCUUAACUUGGAAACUGCCGUUGAUACUAUCAAUCUUGAAUAUCGCGUAGGUAAGCGGAAUAUGUCAUGUAGCGGUGAAAUGCUUAGAUAUGACAUAGAACACCAAUUGCGAAGGCAGCUUACUUCACGAUCAUUGACACUGAGGCACGAAAGCGUGGGGAGCAAACAGG
rnacentral:rRNA from 1 species